UUAACAUCCCUGCUUGCUUUCAUGAACAAUGCUUUUGCCUUCAGCAGCUAUUCAUGCACAUGCCUGCAAGCCUGGUUUCACAAUGCAUUUCAAAAUCAUGGUGAUUCCACAUCAGCAUAGAGUUAGAAGAUCUGAGAGCUGCCGUGACCUCCUGGAGGAGUACCAUGGGUGGGUUAUUCAACAACAUGAGAAAGCGUAGGCAGCAUAAAUCAAUGGAGCAGAAACAGAACUGGAUAGUACGGAUAUAUUUCAAAACAAACAGCUCAACAGGAACUGGCUGGAGCCAGCACAGAACAAUGUGGAGAAACAGCUUAUGCUGAUUUAUUGCAGCUCCUUGAAGAGCAAGCCCUUACCACAAAUAACUCUUGAGUGGUCUAAUACAGGGAAAAGAGAUGAAGGAAACUUCAGGUGAGGUGGGAUGGGAGGAAUUAUUUGAAUCUUGCAACUGCUUAGCUCCAGACAAGUCCCUGAAAGUCAGCAUUUGAGACCAGCUGCAUUUUGUUUCAAGGAAGCUUUGAAGUAGUACUUUAGGGGACACAAGGCUACGACCAGAGCUGAAAUGUGUGUAACUUGAUAUUCGUAGGCAGGAUCUUCUCACCCCUUUUUUGGAUAAAACUGAAGAGAUCCUCGACUUACCAGGACACUCAUCCACUUUGAUACCAGAGAUGCAAUUUUCCCUGGUGGGCCGCUGCGGACCCAGUGCUCUCAAUGUGCAGGACAGAACAGCACUCUGCUCUGGAGAUGCUAUUUCCUCUUGCUACUGCCUUUCUACCGAGCAAGGCAAUCCUUGAAGGAAGAAUUAUGCCUUCUAUUUCCAAAAAGGCCUGUGACAUGUUUUUGACUGAACCAUCACCAGUCUCAUGCUGUUAUUUCAGGGAGUGGAUAGAACAGACGACUCAUGACAUGGCACUGAAACAGUCAGAAAAGGAAGAAUUCAGGUAAUUACCCUAACACCUGUGCAGGGUAGAAACGGCAGUGCACAUGUGGCACAAAUGACCAGACUGCUUCUUGCAUCAAAAACUGCACAAAAUACUUUAAUCAGGCAUGGUGGAAUUACUGGGGUAAAUCUUCCACUGGCUUGGAAGAGAUCUGUAAAUAAGGAGCAAGAAAGGUGAUGACACCAUACUUGUCCUGAGACAGUAUGCUAUUAUUACUUUUUAAUAAAGCCCUGACAGUACAAUCCCCACGUGUAGCAAUGGUCUAAAGCCAAACAGAAUACUGCAAUUCCCUGAAAUGCUCAGACCUAAUAGCAUGGUUUGUACCAGACAGUUCCACCAUAAUAUGCUCAGGAGUUCUUGAUUACUUCCUGCACUGAGGAAAUUGCCCUUCCUCACUUUUACCUUUUGGAUCCAGUUUUGUCUGCGGCUCUCUGUGUUAGCAGGAAUCUUAAUUGCUUAUCUUUCACAAACUAACUUAGAAAAGUCUAGUUCAGAUUUCACAGAUAAUGUGCAUCUCCAAAGAGCCAAUCAUUUCCUGCAUGACUUUCCAAAAGCCGGUGUGGAAUUAGGCCAAAACCGUAGAGACAGAAAUUCAAAGAUUGAUAUCUUAAUCAUAAAGUAGUUAUGUAUAUUUUAGCAUACUUUGAGAUUAAGCACAUUAAUUUCUAAUGAAUAAUCCUCUCGGCACAUCCCAGAGCUGCACUCCAGCCCUGCCUGGCUAUGAGGAGAACCUUUGCAGAGAGAGGCUUUGCAGUCUCUGUCAAAAUCAAUAUCAGGAACUAUUCCUCAGGGAAAUCAGUAAUGUCACAAGCAAAGCACUUGCCAAGGCUUUGAGCCUGUUCCAAUUAAUUUUGCAUUCCACAUUUGCCACAGACUCGAGGUAGGAAAGAAAGUUGAAUGUAAACAGCUAAAUGUUAUACACCAUCAUCUUGCUGAGGCAGUGACUGCUGGAACAUAAGCUUUAAAGACUGCCAUAUUUAUCCAUGCCUCUAACCAACAUAAAUCUGAAACACAGCUGAGGUGCAAUGAUUUACAAGUUAACGAAUGGAUAGAGACUUCUGCCUCAAUCGCCAAAUCCAGGUCUGUGUUAUUUCAUGGUGACACUGAGCUGCUACAUUUGUCCAGAAAACUUAGCUGCAGAGGCCUGCUACCUGAAACUCUUUCAUUUCCAGCCCCAGGGCAGCGUCACCCCUGGCAUGAGAGCUGCCACACCAGCAUCAAUAAGGAACUUCUUGCCACGAGUUCUGUCUUGUUGGUGUGCUCUCAAAAAUGGCCAGAUGUAACAGCUUUAAACAGCAGAAACUGAACAGGAACCUGGGCAACUUGGAGUGCAGCUGUUAAAAUAAGGGUGAGUAAGAACAAUGAAAUAAAGAAGUAUCACUUUAAGUACAGGCAAAGAAAGCUGAAGGCAUGUGGGAUGCCUUUUCUUUAGAAAAGCUUAAAAUAGAAAAGGAAAUCAAUACUAAUUUACAGUAUCUGGCAGUCACUGAACCAAAACAUACAUGUACACCUACUGCAAAUCAGAAAUAACAACACUUAUUUAAACCACAAGCUGUUAUUCUGCUGUGGGAACGCUGUGUUUUCUGUGGAUAGCUUCACCAGAAACUGAGAAGCACCACAUAUUUGGGACCAUUUCUAAAAAGCUUUCACAAUACCAAGAGCAAAUAUUGUCAAAACUACAGUUACUAACCCCAGCACUGCUAGGCUGGCUUCUGCUCCUCUGGACUGUUGGCAAAGAGAGUCAGAGCUGAUGGGGGAAAGCAGAAUGCUUUGCCUGUCCUCCUGAGCCUCUCUUCUGAUCACUUACAAGCCACCAUUUGUGGGAUCACAAGGCAAAAUGCAAAGAAGCCUGGAUGCUACAUUUGGCAUGUUGAGUGAUGGGACUACCUCUCCUAAAGCAGCAGUAAAAUCCAUGCACCAAGCAGAGCCCUGGUGGUCAGAACCCACGCCUUGGCAUCAUACAGUGCCUAUGAAAAACCAGGGGCUUUAGGGGAAGGAAUCGUGUUUAGCAAAUUAACAUUCCCCAAACACUGAAAGUGUAGUUGAAUAUAAACAAAGUGAAUCUGCUGAUUGAUUUUUUUUCCAUAGUUCUGGAAGAAAUGUGACCAGUAAGUAAAUAGCAUCAAUAAUAACAACAGCUGGCUUUUGUACAACGCUUCUCAUUCAUAAAACUGAACAUGCUUUUUUUUUUUUUUUUUUCUUAAGGGGUGAAGCUUUGAUUGUCACACAGCCAUCAAAUGAAAAGAUGAUCCAGAGGCCCCUCACCCACUGCCCUGCCCCUGGCAAGAACUGAUCCUCCCUACCCCUGACGUGUAAAGUGAGUACAGGAGGUGAAAGCCUUGCCCACGGCAACACAGCAUACCACUGGCGUGGGAUGGACACACAGUGUGAGGCCAAACCCAACCCAACAACAGCAGAGCCAAAAUCAUGGAAUCAUAGAAUCAUUAAGGUUGGAAAGACCACUAAGAUCAUCAAGUCCAACUGUCAUCCCAACCCCACCAUGCCCACUAACUCACAUCCCUCAGUGCCAUAUUUCUGUGGUUCCUGAACACCUCCAGGGACAGUGACUCCACCAUUCCCUGUGCAGCCUAUGCCAGUGCAUCACUACUCUUUUGGAGAAGAAAUUCUCCCUAAUUUCCAACCUGAAUGUCCCCAUGGGUUCCCUGAGCCCCAUUCUUAUGCUGCCUGCACAGGGCCACAAUGAACCUGUAAAGAGAGAGUCAAAUUUUAAAAAGCUUUCUGUGCCACAGAACCUGUGGGCAGCUCAUCACAUCAGAAGGACGAUCUGUGCAUUCUCAGGACAACCUGGUUUUAGCUGCUUGGUUCUCCUCACUAAAACCAUUUAGAAAGAACCAGAUGAUGGCUGAAGGCUGACCCUUGAAUAUGCUUUUAAUAAAAUGAAAUUAUGAAUGCUGCUCGGAAGACAGUUUUUAUUACUUCAAAUAUUGUAGACUAGCUCUCACAGGAGACUCGAAAAAAAAAUAAAUAAAGAAGAAACACCAUAGCCAUUAGGUCAGCUAGAUGUUAUCUCUAGAGCAAUUUAAUUACUUAGUGCUUCCUCAAUCACUCUUCACUUCUUUAGCCCAGCAAAUUAAGCCACUGCAGAUUUCUGGAUUUUGACAAGUGAAUCUGAAAUCUCACUGAGAUAAUUUUGAAAAAUAAAAGUAAAAAAUAUGUUGAAAAAUAACAUGAAAUCUAUCUUUCCAGCUGCUAAACUAGCUAACCUGCUGACACCUGGAGCAAACCAAGCCAACUUUCUGUUCUUAAAAGCGACAAAGAUUUAGGUUUUUUUCCAUCACACCACAGUUUUUAAGCUUGAUGGAAAGGAAACAUACAUAGCAAGUUUUUUUUUUUUGCAUAGGACAGAUAGAUGGCUAAAAAAAUCAGUAAUCCUUCUCAUCUAUUAAUUCUACAGUCAUUUGUACAUUUGUACAUUUUCUGCUUGCCCGUCUAUACACAAUAUUGGAUCAAAAGAUUACUACAUUAUUACCAUUGAAUGAUUGACUCUAGCUCAUCUGUCAAUACUUUCUUUUUUUUCUCUCUCUCCUUUAUUUCAGUAGAUUGCUGCUGAGACAAUUGACUUGUGGCUGAAAAGCAAGAACAACUGAUGAUCACUUAGUAGAUUUUUAAAAUCUCUUCUUCAACAUCAAGCACUCUUCAACCACAAAACCUCAAGGAAUAGUUUAUUUUCUCUGGCAACUUUCUUCUAGGGACUCCAGAUAUCACUGCUGUCACCUCACUAACAUCACUCACUUGGAUCAUUAUACCAAAUUUUAGAUUGGGAAAACAAAAGCACAGAGAAAUCAAAGGCCCAGUUAUUUAUAUCAUUGGUCUGUGUGCACAGUCUUAACUGUAUUUUUUGCCUAUUCUCUGCUCCUCAUUGACUUCUUUUUUCCACUAAAUUUUUUAGGUCUAGCAAUCUGCUUUUGCCAUCACUUUGUUAGCAUGGAUUCAGAAUCUCUGUCUUCAAAUGAUUUCCUACCAGACAGAAAAGAAGAUGGAUCCUGUCUGGAGAGCAAGUGUCUGUCACACAGAAGAGGAGUCUCAUUCCAAUAGAAGUACUCAUGAAGUAUUAUUACUCAAUGUCUUAAUGAUGUCAGAAACUUUGAUCUGAUAUUGCUACCUUCCUCCCUGUUGGAUAAUAAGCCAUAUUGGUAGAGAAUGCCAUAGUACUGGUACUGGUGGAGUAGGAACAGUGAUGUAUAAGGGUGUAAUUAAGUUAAGGGUAUAAUUGGGGGGUGUAACAAGGCAAGGGAUCUUAAGGAUUCUCAUGGGCAGGAUGCAAUAGUCUUUACUUAGAUAAAGUUUAAGCUAUGGAGUAUCAGCCAUUUGCAGUCAAAAUUGUGUCACAUCUCUUGGACAAGCUACAAUGGAAGGUUGUUAAACACUGAUGGCUUCCAUUCAAGUGGAAGCACAUUUGGACAAUGGGAUGCCUGGACCUAUGGAAGGCAGCUCAGCCAAAUGCGUCUGCAGGGACAGCUCUUAGAACAAUGUAAUUUCCCUAGAAGAACAAAGAGAUCAGAUGUUCCCGCUAGCUCUGAAAAGCACAAAGCUUCAGGGGAACUCACAAGGAAACCCAGGCCAACUCCUCUGCAACAUGGAUCUAGAAAACACAUUGCCUUCUAGCCAAUACAACUGUGCCAGCCAAAUCUUGUAGAUGUAUUCAUAGUGAUCUAAAAGAGAUGCCUCAGUGUAUGGUAACUGCUGAGUCACAGCCUAAACCACUGAUUGAGCAUCUGGGGAAAGGACCCAGUCAGCCCUGGGAGCACAAGUGAAGGCAAUUCAGCUGUGCGACUUGAAGGGUGGAGCCUGGCUGCUCCUCUCUUAGACCUCAUUUAAGGGCUGACUGCCACUGGAGGAUUUCUUCCUGGAGGUCCUUCCUUGGUGCAGCUUUCUCUUGUGAACUGAGACUCUUCUGAUACAGGAGAUUUGCAUUCCUGUGAGGACUGAAGAAAUCCUUUCCUACUGAAUGGAAGCUGUUGGGAAUACCUACAGCAAGAAAUGAAGCUUUCAUGUCUGUCAAAAAGUCCCUUACAGGUGUAGAGCUGAAAGAACUCCUACAAAAGCAGUGUUUGCUCAGGUCUGUUUGAGGAGAUAAAAGAGAAGCACCCACUCUGAACAGCAAUGUCUGCUGGUUGGCCCCAGCGUCCACCCAUUGUUUGCUCUCCAACCCCAGGCCAGCACCACAUUUUUUCCUUUGGCAGAUAUCCCAUUAUUUUCUGCCCGGGGGCUGGAUUGAGGAUGGAAAUCUCGAGGCUGGUGCAAAGGAUACAGAAAACAUCUGUGCCAAAAACUUUCCUCCUCCUGAAAGUCAGUGAAUAGAAGUAACUACAAAGCUCUCUGUGGACCAGGUCCAUGGAUCGUAGGUCCACAGAUCUUAAGCCAAGACCCAUGUCCUAGAACCUAGUAAGUGCCAUGGAGCUGUGUGGGGUGGCUCACAGCCCUGCUCUCUGGGAACAGGGUGGCAAUGUACGUUGCUUAGGUGCAGGCCACCUCCUGACCACAUGUCACUGCAUGGCUCAUUGGUUGGCAGGCACCAAACCCAGGGCAGGAAAGCUGGGUUUGUAUCCACCUCUCUGAGAUGGUUUGGAUGCAACCUAUUGCGUGGUGUGGGAAAGUGCUACUCCUGACUACUCAAAUUCCUUCUUGAACAACUUUUCUUGCAUUUGCCUAUCAGCUAUAAAAAGAAAAUACAAUUAAAAAAUUAACAUAGCUUUUCCCAUUGGCUUGCACAAAAACAACCAACCAACCAAUAUCCAGAUUUUGUAAAGUAGCUGCCUAUACAACUAGGGUAACACAAGUAUGUGUCAAGCCAGAAUCUGACAGCAGAUACUGGCAGCAAGAUGAACAGCCAUAAAUAACUAUGGGAGAAACACAGAUAGCUUUCUAUAGCAGAUCAUAAUCAGCACAUAAUCAGCACGGAAAGCCAUUACACUCAGGGGACUAUUUAAAUUAUGAAAAAGACAUUAUUUAAACGUCUCUAUCUGAAACCUUGUCUGUUUAUCACCAAGUUCAGUUUUGAACUCGCUGAGAGGUCCCAGUGAGAGCUUCCUAAAUCAUUUACUGACCAUAAAUAAAUUUUUAAAAAAGCAGUUAAAAAGCAACACAGUUGAACCAGCUCCUGCCUGCUGCCCUGAGAUUUCUGCUGUUACUGAUCAAACUGAACUCAGAUGCUGAUGCUGUAUUUGUUGACACUAAGGAAAUUAAAAAGAGCAGAUAUUGCGGAGUUGGCAUCCCAUCCCUCCCUGACUGCUGUUGGUUUGAAGGCACUUUGUUGCUGACAGGCAUCAGCCUCCUUCAAGUGCCUCUCUGGAUGUAGCACACACAAGUGCCAAGCGAGGCAGCUGUGCACAGGGCGAGAGUAACUGUGGUUCACAUCUGUAAGGUGAGCUUGAGCGAGAAAGGGUUGGGGAAUACAGUCAUUACAAUUGGAGCUCUCUCAGGUGACAGGCAUCUCUUAGUGGCUCUGCAAAGCUCAGUGCACAUAGCUAGGCAUCAGCAGCCAGGCUAUAAAACAUAGAGUCUUACUGAUAGUCAAAAAAGCGUGUUUGCUGAAAA